AUUUUCUUUUGGACGUUCGAAUUGGGAUGAGAAAACAAACCACCACCACAUCACCAUGACCAGACUUUAAAAAGCAACAGGUCAGUGCUUUGUAAAGAAAACAAGCAGCAUCAAUAUUUUCUGCUCUAAUCAAUGAGCCCAAACAUUUGACGUUUUGAAUACAGAUAAAUAAGUCAAAUUUUUGGAGAGAGAAAUCUUAUAGAGUCUUUCUGUUUGUACUGCCCAAUGUGUUACUGAUUAUUUCCCCUAUUGACCAAUUGUACUUUGCGGUCCAAGAUUCACAGAAGUGAAUCUUGCAGUGUUAAAAUGCAAAGAGAACAAUAAACAGUAUACAGAAGCAGUUAAAUACUUCUUAUAAAACUUAUCUUAAGAGAAAAUUUGCCAAAGUAAAAGCAAUUACACUUUAGAAGAUCCCACUUGAUGGCGAAUGUAUCAAACACCUAAAAUUUUGGACAGUUAUUAGGAGAAGGCUGAAAAUGUGUCCUUGCAGCUUUACCACUCAGCUUCAUUUACCUGCUCUCCCUGAGGAGCCCGACUGGAAGGGAUCUGUUUCUCUUUGUCUGAAAGUGCCUUGCAUUAUAGUUACCUGUAGGCGUAGUUUACUAGACCACAAGUUCCUUUAGGAUAUGAGUGAUGUCUUAUACAUAUUUGCCUUCUCCAAAGUACCGAACAUGGCAGUGCUGGGGCUCAGGACAGGCUGCCCCAAGAUAUGUCACAGUGGCAUAGUGAUUAUUUCGAAUUAAAGUUACUUGAGAAACAGCUGGUGGAAACAAAAGAUAUAAAAAACACUCUGACUUCCCCCUUCCCCAUGAAAGCAAGAAAUAAAUCUCCCAGGUGAAGGUAUCCUCCCUAUACCAGGAGGCUACAAAGCGUCCUUAUCACCCGAGUUAGGGAACUCAAGGCUUAAAAAGCUAUACUAUAAACAAAUGUUGUUACUUCUUCAUCAGUUUGCUCCCUAGCAUAACUUAAAUCUUCAUAAAUCUUUCUUUGUCUAAAAAUGAUAUAUGGACAACUUGCUUUGGUCACUUCGGGGGUCCCAUUUCUCUGAGAAUUCUACACAUGCAAAUUAAAUUGUUUUGUUUUACUUCUUUCUCCCGUUAAUAUGUCUUGGGUCAAUUUAAUUAUUAGACCAGCCAAAAGAACUCAAGAGGGAUGGGGGGAAAUUUCCCCCUCCCUGAUAGUAGUUAUUCAAUUAUUUAUGGAAAUGAGUAAGUCAAAAUACAGGUAAAAAAAUUCUCCUAAUGAACUCCAAGUAGAAACCAAAAACUCUUCUGCUUCUACAUUUAGUGGCUGUAUUGUAUUUGCAAAAUGUAUUUAGCGUAAAUGAAGUGAAUAUUUCCCUCUAAUACAGUCCCUUUUUGUGGGUAAAUUUAUUCUUUAUUCCAAUACAUUUUUUGGGUGUGAUGAUGAAACUGAUUUUGGAUGAUCAUCCAUAGGUGUCAAAUGUCAAAGCAUAUUUCUUUGUCCUUUCUGGCACGGUAUUAGCAUACCGCAUAUUCAUCCAGAGCCUUUCCAAGGAAGAGCUCUCUAAACAAGCUAUUUUAAAUUUUAUAACGUCCUCAGUUAUGUGUUAAAUAAGCUAAAUUCAAAGAAACUAAGAUUAACCACAUCAGAGCAAAAAGUGAAAGAAAUUUAAUUAGAAAAUUCCAAGAGAUGACAGCAGAGAAAGUCUAAAAUUAAUUGUAAUAUGAUCAGAAUGAGAUCUCAUCUCAUCAUUCUAAUAUGGGGGCGAGGACACACGUACACAAAGAGUUUUCCGAUCAAGCUAAUUAAUAGGCCAAAGGAGCUGGUUUUGUGAAGAAAAACCUAAAGAGGCAAAGUCAUUCAGCAUAAGUCUAACAUAGGAUUUUGGAAAUUCUAAAUCAGCAAGUCUCUUAAAGAAAACAAAAAGCAAAUAUCGGGCUUCCCCGGUGGUGCAGUGGUUGGGAGUCCACCUGCCAAUGCAGGGGGCACGGGUUCGUGCCCCGGUCCAGGAGGAUCCCACAUGCCGCGGAGCGGCUAGGCCCGUGAGCCAUGGCCGCUGAGCCUGCGCUCCGCAACGGGAGAGGCCACAACAGUGAGAGGCCCGUGUAACGC
rnacentral:lncRNA from 1 species